CAUCAGGAAGCUCAAGAGAAGCACCAGCCUUUUAAGCUGGAAGUUGACGAUUAACAUCGUCCCUGGUGA
rnacentral:tRNA from 1 species